rnacentral:rRNA from 1 species
GAUGAACGCUGGCGGCGUGCCUAAUACAUGCCAGUCGAGCGAACAGAUGAGGAGCUUGCUCCUCUGACGUUAGCGGCGGACGGGUGAGUAACACGUGGAUAACCUACCUCUAAGACUGGGAUAACUUCGGGAAACCGGAGCUAAUACUGGAUAAUAUAUUGAACCGCAUGGUUCAAUAGUGAAAGACGGUUUUGCUGUCACUUAUAGAUGGAUCCGCGCCGCCUUAGCUAGUUGGUAAGGUAACGGCUUACCAAGGCGACGAUGCGUAGCCGACCUGAGAGGGUGAUCGGCCACACUGGAACUGAGACACGGUCCAGACUCCUACGGGAGGCAGCAGUAGGGAAUCUUCCGCAAUGGGCGAAAGCCUGACGGAGCAACGCCGCGUGAGUGAUGAAGGUCUUCGGAUCGUAAAACUCUGUUAUUAGGGAAGAACAAAUGUGUAAGUAACUAUGCACGUCUUGACGGUACCUAAUCAGAAAGCCACGGCUAACUACGUG